rnacentral:sRNA from 1 species
AGAACCCGUGGCUGAUGUCACCAGAUAAUAAUGCCUAGCGCCAUUCGUGCCAAGCUUCUGGGGUUGAACCAUUCAAGCAGAGAAAGAGAGCGUUCUGUUCAUGUGGAGUCGCACAGCUCAGCCUGUCCCUGACAUGUCUUUGUGCUUUGUAGGCGGGGGCACGAACAGCAUCACCGUGAGGAAUGCCACAUUCACCUGGGCCAGGAGCGACCCUCCCACACUGAAUGGCAUCACCUUCUCCAUCCCCGAAGGUGCUUUGGUGGCCGUGGUGGGCCAGGUGGGCUGCGGAAAGUCGUCCCUGCUCUCAGCCCUCUUGGCUGAGAUGGACAAAGUGGAGGGGCACGUGGCUAUCAAGGGCUCCGUGGCCUAUGUGCCACAGCAGGCCUGGAUUCAGAAUGAUUCUCUCCGAGAAAACAUCCUUUUUGGAUGUCAGCUGGAGGAACCAUAUUACAGGUCCGUGAUACAGGCCUGUGCCCUCCUCCCAGACCUGGAAAUCCUGCCCAGCGGGGAUCGGACAGAGAUUGGCGAGAAGGGCGUGAACCUGUCUGGGGGCCAGAAGCAGCGCGUGAGCCUGGCCCGGGCUGUGUACUCCAACGCUGACAUUUACCUCUUCGAUGAUCCCCUCUCAGCAGUGGAUGCCCAUGUGGGAAAACACAUCUUUGAAAAUGUGAUUGGCCCCAAGGGGAUGCUGAAGAACAAGACGCGGAUCUUGGUCACGCACGGCAUGAGCUACUUGCCGCAGGUGGACGUCAUCAUCGUCAUGAGUGGCGGCAAGAUCUCUGAGAUGGGCUCCUACCAGGAGCUGCUGGCCCGAGACGGCGCCUUCGCUGAGUUCCUGCGUACCUAUGCCAGCACAGAGCAGGAGCAGGACGCAGAGAACGGGGUCACAGGCGUCAGCGGUCCAGGGAAGGAAGCAAAGCAAAUGGAGAAUGGCAUGCUGGUGACGGACAGUGCAGGGAAGCAACUGCAGAGACAGCUCAGCAGCUCCUCCUCCUAUAGCGGGGACAUCAGCAGGCACCACAACAGCACCGCAGAACUGCAGAAAGCUGAGGCCAAGAAGGAGGAGACCUGGAAGCUGAUGGAGGCUGACAAGGCGCAGACAGGGCAGGUCAAGCUUUCCGUGUACUGGGACUACAUGAAGGCCAUCGGACUCUUCAUCUCCUUUCUCAGCAUCUUCCUUUUCAUGUGUAACCAU